GGGAGUAUAGCCAAUCGGUUAAGGCACGUGACUGUCUAUCACGCAUUAGAGGGUUCGAUUCCCUUUAUUCCCGCCA
rnacentral:tRNA from 1 species